CAGCCGCGGUAAUUCCAGCUCCAAUAGCGUAUAUUAAAGUUGUUGACAGUUAAAAAGCUCGUAGUUGAAUUUCGGGACUAAUAUGUCGGUCGUACUUUGUACGUACUAGCAUUAUUGGUUUCUCCCUUCUGACGAACCACGAUGUCAUUAAUUUGGUGUCGUGGGAAAUCAGGACUGUUACUUUGAAAAAUUAGAGUGUUUAAAGCAAGCUCGCGCUUGAAUACAUUAGCAUGGAAUAAUGAAAUAGGACGUUUGAUUCUAUUUUGUUGGGUUUCUAGGAUCGACGUAAUGAUUAAUAGGGAUAUUGGGGGCAUUAGUAUUCAAUUGUCAGAGGUGAAAUUCUUGGAUUUAUUGAAGACUAACUACUGCGAAAGCAUUUGCCAAGGAUGUUUUCAUUAAUCAAGAACGAAAGUUAGGGGGAUCGAAGACGAUCAGAUACCGUCGUAGUCUUAACCAUAAACUAUGCCGACUAGGGAUCGGAUGAUGUUAAUUUUUAUAAUGACUCAUUCGGCGCCUUACG
rnacentral:rRNA from 1 species